rnacentral:lncRNA from 1 species
UUUUUUUUUUUUGGGGGUGGUUGGGGGGUGUUUGGACAAGGAACCGUUCUUUUAAGAUCAGCUAGAAAAACCAAAAUCACUCCAGAGGGCAUUACCUUAUUUGUAGUUAAAAUCAUGUAAACAACCAAAGCCUUGUCCUUGAGGCUUUGGAAUAUAAUUCUCAUUUUAUCCCCAAUAUGUUCAGAACUGAAAAAAUACAAUGAGCACUAAACUAUAUAUGUUAAGAUGUUCCCAAUGAGCUCUAAAAAUACAAGUCAGCUAACCUCUAGAACUGAAUUGUUCCCAAUAAGACAAACAGUAUUGGAAGUAAACCUUUGGCAAGAAGCACUUAAAGUGCUUAAUCUUGCUCACUUGGCAAUAGUAACGUCAGUGUUUUCAAACCUGAUUAUUAACUGAUUGUACACGGACAGCUCAAAUGAAAGCGCUCAGUGCAACCCCAAUAGAAAUGGAAACUUGAGGGAAAAAUAAUGUAAUGGCCUAGUCCGCAUUAUUACAAAUGACUACAUAAGUGCCGGAUAAUUUAACAAGAGGUUUGGCAGAAUUUCAAAUUAAUUGUAAAACUAAUUCUAAAUCAGAGCGUUUCUUCCAUAACUUCACAACCCGUUCAGCCAGUUUAGUGGAAACAAAGAUGAAAGGAAGAUUCAAACAAAUACAUAUGACGCAACAAGGAUUUAAAGGAGCUCAAAUCUGUAAAAAGCUGACCUCAAACUGCUCCAAGCUGGCAUACACUCCACUUGUAAGCUUCUUCUUAACCGUCCCAAAAUCCAUAGGAUUGUCUAUUACUUCAUGGUAGUCUGGAAGCUGCGUUUUGAAUAAAGAGAAAAGUUAUACAAUAGGAGAAACAUAAAAAAAAAAAUCCAGGAAAUGAAUGCUUUCUUUCCUUUUGAUCAAACUUAGAUUAAGUAGAGCUGUAUUCACACUUUUGACUUAUGAGUAAAAGAUGUUCUUAAUGAAGAUGCAUCACCUACAAACUAACCUCUUCGGGGUCCACAGGCUCAGAAAACACCCCAUAGGUGUCCUUCCUGAAAUAAUGUUUUUUAAGAAGAAAAAUUAAAUCAUCAAACUGAAUGCACAACACCAUAAUAAGGCACAGCGAAACAAAAUCCCAGCACCCGGGAAACAUACUUUUGAAGCCUCUCAAGAACGAACAGUAGCAGCUGUGUAUCGGGUAAAGGAGUAGAGGGUCCAGAAUCCAAUUUGGCCACACCUGCACAAAAAUGCACACCCAAUGAUGUAACUUCCAAUCCAAACCCGUAAUCAAACACCUCAAAAUUACAACAAUGUGGUUAUCAGCAAACCUUGGACAGUGCUUGAGGAGGGAUUUGAAACAGGAACCGACUUCUCACCCUGCAAAAAGUGAAUUAACUUCAGUAACUAAAUAAAAACAGAAACAGAUGUAGAGCAUAUGUUUCUAUUCUGGGUGAAUAACCACUGGCAAACCCAGCUCUGAAAAGGCAAAGUAGCCCAGCAUUCAAAGUACCAAAAGGGGAAAAUACAGUUGCAAAUUCCUGUUAUAUAAUUAAUUAAAAAGAAAAAAGAAGAAAGAGGACAAAUUUAUACUUUUCAUCAGACAAGACAGGCGAAUCAUUAUUAGGCUCAGUAAAUAUAAACACAAAAUUAAGCUGAAUGCUAACAAAUCGAAAAUUAAAGGUAAAUUAAUAAUUAGUAAGUAAGUAACUACUAGAGACUAAAUAAUCUAAGUACGGUUAAAGUUUUUGUACAAGACCGGACUAAUGUACUAUUAGUACAACUAAGACCAAAAAAAAAAAAAAAAGUGUUGUUGAAAUGUGCGGUGCGAAAUUCAAGGAGUUUUGAAUUUUCAUGUCAACGUAUAUAUUUCCGGAAGGGCCCAAAAAUAAGAGCAGCUAUAUUUUGCCGCGAAAAUGUAAAAAAGCCCCAAAUCAAAAUCCAAUUGAAUUUUCCCGAAUCCCGAAAAAUCAAAUACCUUUGUGGGGUGAGCCAGCCCAGAUCCAUCUCCAAUUGCAUUGAUCUUGCGCUUUUUCACGCUCUCGUCGCCGUCGUCAUUCUCAGACCCGCCGGAAUUCGCGGAGGAUUUUGGCAAUUUGACGACAAGCUUGAGUUUCUUCUCGCGGCCGUCGUUUCCGUCCGAAUCGUCCGGGUCCUCGUCGUCGGGGUUGGGGUUGCGGCGGGUGGAUCGACGGAGGUGGUUGGUGGAGGGAGGGGCAGGGGUGGAAUUAGGGUUGGAGCGAGGGGCAGAGUUGGAAUUGUUGCGGUGGUGGAAUUGUUGGAGUAGGUGCUGCUGCUCCUUGAGGUUGCGUUUUUGGAGAUCCAAAAGAGAAGGGCGCCCUUUCUUCUUCUUCUUCGUCGUCUCCACUAUCCCACCCUUCUUACCCAUUUUCUUUUUUGGGUGCCCAACCCUCUCUCUCCUCUUUGUUUCUCCUCUAGCCAGACACACACACAAACAGGGUCUUAUUUUUUAUUAUUAUUUGUUUUUUUUCAAAAUUAAUAUUUAGAAAUUUAAUCCUUUUUUUUUGUUACCUAUGAGUGUUAGGGGCAUGCGCGGCACGUGACAAUCGCACGGGUUGCUAGAGGGACACGUGACGGGAAGAUGCUAAAAUUAGGUCUUGUCGAUCGGAAGCGGUUUCUGGAUUGAACUUCAGUUUUUUUUGUCUUCGUCUACAUGCCGGCGACAAACCCGUACGACGUUUCUCAUCGUUUUACUUAUUUUUGGUUUUAAGUCUGAAGAGAUCCUCUUCUUUUUAAUUAUCCAACUCUACAUUCAAAAAAUAUAUAUAUUUAUUAUCCAACUCUAAGACGAGUGUGUUGUUCAUUAAUCAAUAAUUGAUACCAGAGUUAUGAAAAUCAUAAUCAGUCACUUUGAUUAUUGUUUCUGUACAAUCUCUGAUAGGGCUGCAGAAACUGAUGGCGAGUCCGUUGGGUGGUAAACUAUCCUCUCGUUGACCUGUAAGCACAAGGAUGACCGGGGGCUUCCUGUCUUUCCUCUUUCGAUGAUUAAGUCAGUAUCUGCUGGUAUAAUGUAAUUACUAGGGUAGUUAAUGAUACCUAACAAACUGGUGGCUAGGCCAUAUUUAUGGCCCAGAGUGGGUUCUUUUUACUUGAAAACCGAUGUGGGACAACUGCCUUUGCUGUUACUUCAAACACCCAGCUCCCUUUAUGCCUUCUGAAACCGUUCCCGGCCCAAUACUGCCACCGAGGUCGGGCCCGGCCCAUCUUACACAUGGGUGGGAACCCUAGGGCGAUCUCGGUUGUCUUGACCAUGGUGGGAUGUUUACUGGUUUACCGGCUUGGGAGGUUGUUUUAAACACAACCAACUACAAUUAUAAAUUUAAAAUAAAAAAUAACACAUCAUCAGUUUCAACGAAAAAUCUUAUGUACAAUGUGAGUAAGCACAUGAUAAAGCACACAAUGUGUUAGUGUCAUGUAACCUCAACCAUUCAUCUGUUGUUAAUAUCUACACCACAUUGUGCUUUAAAGACUUCACAAUUUAAGAUCCACGUGCAACAUACAAUGCAAUCUAGGUCGUUCAUAUGUGAGACAGUCAUGUAUCAAUAUUAUGUCGCAUUAUCGUAACCAUCCACAUGAUAUCGUGUAUAUGACUGUCGUGUACUGAAGAUUCUCCCUUUGUUUGGUCAGGUACUGAUCAAGGAGUCAACAUAAUUGCUAACAGUUUAGAAUUAAAUGAUACUACUGAUGUGGUACUAUAAAACAUGAAAUUUGUAAUGCAUAUACACAUCAUAAUUGAAUAGAUAACGUAUUUCACUAUAUAGUACUCUAAUUUGCCAGGUACACGGCAAAAUGACUAUUAUCAACUCAUGACUUAGUUAAGUGUAGUGCGGACUUGUUGCCGGAAGAAAUUCAAGCAUCUUAAGGGAGAGAGACUUCUAUCAACAUGAUAUGUUAUGCUUCUUCUUCUUCUUUUUUUAACUUUUUUGAAAUGAGUUCAUUGUGUUGUUUUUGUUUUUUGAAUUUUUUCCAUAACUUAUCAAUAAAUGAUGUACUACUGUACUAGCACUACACAAUAACUGCGUCAUAAAAUAUUUUUUGAGAAUGAAAUAAUUACAUUAAUAACAAAUUAGAUAUUUGCAUCAAUUACAUAUACGUGAGACAACCAUUGUGGCAUAACCUUAGUCCACAUAAAAUGCAAGAAACAAAAGCGUAGUCCUCCAGUAGCGCUGAAAAAUUCUUCUCUAACUAACAUAUGCGCUGCCUGUAAAACCUGUGUCAUAAACCUGCUUGCUCCGAAAGAGUAAAAAUUUAGUGCUGUAAAAUCACAAAAAUGCUUCAAACGACCUUACUCAAAAAAAUAAAAAAUAAAAAUAAAAAAUGCUUGAAACGACAUGACGUAUGAUGUGACAAAAAUCACAAUCCACAUUCACCAACUCCGAUACGGUAGAAAAUCAAAGCCCGCCACCAACCCAAAAUCCGAUACGAGCAGAGCAUCCGGUCACUUCGGGACCCACCCGACUCACCCGGCAAAUAUAUACAUGACGUAAUCACAGACAGAACUCAGAGUCAGUCAGUCAGACGCGAAGUGAGGUCAAGUACUAUUACCUACAGGAAAACAAAUUAAGACCAAAAAUCUCAGAGAUGGGGAUAGCUGCGUUCGUGUGGCAGUCUCUCUCACCCACGCUCCCUUUCCUCUUCCUGUUCAACCAAGACGACUAUCUCCCCAAUCAAUUCCUCCUCGUCUUUUCUUUUCCUUCGAUUUUUAGCAUCGAGGGUUUCAUUUUGGUUGGUUUGAUCUUGUUGUUCUAUUGCAGUGGUGGGAUGACAACAACAGCAUUUUGGGUGGAAGGGAUUUUAUGGAAGGAGGGACAUGGCUGGCUUGUAACAAGGAUGGUAAGGUGGCUUUUCCUAAGAAGCAGGGAAGUGUCAACAUGCCUACGAUUCCCGCUUCCGAAGCGGAAGCGAAGCGGAAUCGCUUUGGAAUCGCUCGGAAUCGCGAUUCCACACGAUUCCAGAAAAAGGAGGUUUGGAAGCGAGUUGGAAUCGUGUGAUUCCAGUUAGGAAGCGCAAAUCCAAUGUCCAGUUAGGAAGCGCCACAGCAAUUUCGCAGAUAGCUCUUGAAAAGAGAGAGAGAACCCAGAUUAGAGAGAGAGAGAGAGAGAGAGAGAGAGAGAGAGAGAGAGAGAGAGAGANNNNNNNNNNNNNNNNNNNNGAGAGAGAGAGAGAAUCCAAAUUAGAGAAAGAGAGAUGUGCCAUGGUUGACAAUGGAAGAGGGAACCCAGAUUAGGAGGGAGGUGAAAUGGGCGAAAAGCCAAAAAGACAGUAAAUUGAAGAAAUAGCGGACGUUUGGAUGAGGAAUGGGUAAUCAAAAAAAAAAAAAAAAGGACGGGAAAAUGGGAGGUGAUUCACUAGGGUAAGGUACAUAGUGGGGUGGACUAAAGAAUGAUCUGAUUGGAUGUUGAGAGACACAUGGGAGAUGAUACUGUGAGAGUGGCUGAAAGAUUAAUGUUUAGUCAACUAAGUAACUUUUUAUAUUUGUCAAUUAAUGUUUAUUAAGAUAUUUACAUUAUUUUAGUAUAAUAUAUUUAUAUAUUAUAUUAUUUCACGUUUCCAAUACGUUUCCGUUUUCAAUUAUUUUCAGAAAAAAACCCUUCCGCGUUUCCAAACACUUCGCUUCCACGCUUCCACUUCCGAUUCCAUGCAAUGUAGGGCGUUUCUCACUAAUGUCAGAGAGUGCAAGAGACUUGACAAACACAAGAACAGAGGACAACUCCCCGUUCGUUUCUUGUUACUAGUUUGAUUCUUUGGCUUGCUAUAUGUAUGUAUGUGGAAAAUCCAAGAUGCAUGAUAUUAUGCAUUGUAUUAUGUGAUUUGUCACAAAUCAUUGGUGUGUCACUGUGUGGAUUAUCAAAAGGGAUGAAGAUUUGUAUAUGAUAUGUUCAGAGAGAUAUGUAUGGCUUUGUAUAAUUAGGGUCCAAUCUUUGCUACUUGUUCUCUGAUCAGCCACCUCCAAGUUCCCAACAUUCUCAAUUUACACAAACAAGUCUUGCUUUCUCACCUGCUUUGGCUUAAUUAGCUGUUGGAUUGUUAAGUACGCAACAAAGUAAAAGUCAGAUGUUGCUAAUGAGAAAGUUAAAUAUGUGGCUAAAUACUGUGUGUCUGUUAAUAUCUGACUACAUGUUUUAAAUUCAUGAUAUUAUCACAUGAAUUAAUCAAUACUUGGUAAAUUCACGUUGAUGACGUGACGUGGUUUAACACACGAAUGAAGAUUUACUGUUGUUGACAGAAAUUCUUUUUCCAUGUUUAUUAAUUUUAUUCUCCUCUGGUUCCAAAUACAUAGAAUGAGAGUGCUUAUAUAGACAUCCAAACCUAAUACAAUCACAAUCUAACCAUAAUUCCUAAGAAUCCAAAUUUAAAAGAAAACAAAUAACCUAAAAUAAUAGAAUUCUAAAACAAAAAUACUACUAGCGUAAAAAUACUAAAGCACUGAUGUCUGUCACUACAAAUGGGGAAGUCACCUUUUAUGAGAGAUAUAAAGCUGGGGAUUGGCAUGAAAAGACCAUGAACUUCCUGAUUAAAAAGAUGGACGAUGAGUAAAUAGUAAGCAUGUGGUUCAGUAAGUCUCAAUUCAUCUGAAUCGAUUCAAGUAUUUUUUCAAGUAGUGCAAACAUGAUUUGUCCAUCCUUUCUCUGAACUUUAGUACCCGUAAAAACAAAGGUGGGUAAAUUUCCUUCAUAAGGUUUUUGGCCACGGUAUACAUGCCGGCGAUGUAGCCGUUCGCAAUGACGGAGCCAGUGAAGGACUAGUGGGGGCACGGGCCCCCAGUGAGAUUUUGACAUCUGCCCACAUAUAUAGAGAUGCCCCCACAGAAAUAUAUAUUUUGCCUCGUUAGUGAACUUUGAGUAGAUAUCCUUACUAGUGCAGCCUUACGGCCUGACUUGAGUUAGCAUCUUUAGCAUAACAAUAGCUACAAAUUGAGUAAAAGUAUGCAUUUUACCUAACACUCGUUGUUGUUUAGGUAAAUCAACAAUAGAACAUCUCUAUAUCUCAUCUUCUUUUCAUUGUUGCCAUAGACGUCGGAGAACAGCUCCUGACCUGAAACUCUAAGAUUUAUUACAGUAAACUUAAUCUUUUCCCCACUCCAAAUCCUAAUUUCAACAACUACAUCCCCAAAUUCUUCUCCAUUGAAGGUGACGACAGCUUGCAGUUACCCAUGAAAUCUUCAACUUUUGUGUUCAUUUAACAAUUGUUUGGUUGAUUUUUUGUGCCCCCGUAAAAAAAAAUUUCUCCCUCCGCCACUGGCCAUUCGACGUUCUCAACGUUUUUACUAUCUCAUGUUUUGGCUUUGAAGUGACUUUCUUUUUUAAUUUAAAAAGUAGCACGUACCACUUGAAUCCAAGCAAAUAAAACCCAACACUUUGCUCAAUAAUGUUAGGGAGGUGCAGUCUGCCUCCUCUACUAUUUUAGUUUAAUUUUGUUUUGGUCACAUUUCAAUCUAGGUGUGGUUGUUACCUUUUACUACUGCUUCUACAUCGAAGUUGAACUGAAAAUAAAGGUGUUUUACACUGCUUUGAAAAAACGAGUGUAUUUUGAUUUUUUGGUCUAGUUCUUUAGCUAGCUAGUCUUUGAGUCAUAAGACUGUAAGAGAUAUCUCUUUUUGUCGGCCUUAAGGGGUGUAUUAUCUUGGUACUGCUUGCUGAAUAUUAAAUUGAUUGACCUCCAUUUAAAAAAAAAAAAAUGUUGGAGUAGAGCAUCAUCUCUUUCGUUACAUACUGAUGAGAGUGAACAUUAUUGCUAAAAGUUAUUCAAAAUGAAUGAUUCUACUAAUUUGGUACACGAUAAAACUCAAACUCAAAAAAAAAACGUAUGUGCACAUCCUCAAGAAAAUAUGACAAAACAAUUUCUAACGAUGGCCGGAGGAUGACGAUGACUUAAUUGUGUAUCUAAAACUAUUCUGCUUUAUUGUACUUCGUAAAUGUAACUUACCAAGCCCAGUACCAUUUGGUCUAGUAGCAUAAAUCUCUCCUUAUAAGUGAGAGGACGUGAGUUCGACUCACAGUUUUAUAUAGUACAUUAAUUAAUUCGUCUAUUUGAUAAAAAAAACAAAAAAUGUAACUUACUAAAUUCUAACUUACUGAUGGGGUAAAAGAACAAGAAGAUGUUCAUUUAGGUAAAAGAAUUUGUUCUGCGGGACCCACCCGGCACGUAGUCAGAGACAAAGAGUUGAGUUGAGGUCAAAAAGACGCACUGAACAAGAAACGGAAUUAAAAUUCUGAGAAAUGUGUAUAGCGGCGUUCGUGUGGCAGUGUCACCCACGCUACCCUUUCCUCCUCCUGCUCAACCGAGACGAAUAUUUCAACCGGUACGUGAUUCAAUUCCUCCUCUUUUUGCUCUUUCCAUUUUGAUUUGAUCAUUGAGGGUUUCAUUUGUUUGGUUUGAUCUUGUUUUAGGGGAACGGCUCCGUUGGCUUGGUGGGAUGACAACAACAGGAUUUUGGGUGGAAGAGAUGCGGUGGAAGGUGGGACAUGGAUGGCUUGUUCCAAGGAUGGUAAAGUGGCGCUUCUCACUAAUGUCAGAGAGCUCAAGAGACUUGAGAAAUGCAAGAGCAGAGGACAUCUCCCAUCUCGUUUCUUAUCGGUAUUGUUUGAUUCCAUCUCCCCCACUACUAGCUACUCUGUGUUUUGUUUAUUUUUACCCGAGUUUGAAUUCGCCCAUGUAUAUAUGUUUGUGGAAAACCCAAGUUGAAUGGCUUUAUGCAUUGGGUUCCUGUGACAUUGUAUUAUGUCGUUGUGUGUGUGGAUUAUGAGGAAGGGUCAAGAUCUUUAUAUGCUAUGUUUUGAAAUGUGAUUUGUUUAGGGUCAAAUUGCUCUACUUGUUCUGAGGUCAGGCACCUCCAAGUUCCCAACUUUCUCAAUUUACACCAACAUGUGUUGCUUUGUUACCUGUUUUGGCUUCAUUAACUGUAAGGUUAUGGUUGACGAGAAAGUAAAGUCCGAAAGGAUUUGAGGUGCUAAUGAAAGUUAAACAUGUAGCUCAAUACUGUGUUUUUUGGUGUUUCGAACUUGCAUUAUUUUGCCACCGUGUUUUAAAUUCAUGAUAUUAUCAUGAGGUUUAAUCACUACAUGCAAAUGGAUGUUGAUGACUUUACGUGGUUUGCCGCUGUAAUGAAGAUCUAUUGUUGUUGACGCAAUACAUUGUAAAUAAGGAAAAUCAUUUUCCCUUUUAAUAUUCUUCUGGUUUUCUUUAACCAAUUCAACAGUCAUUACAACUUAUUAGUUUUUACUUGGUGCUAUUGUCUUGUUUUUAGACAUUGUUCUUAUAACCAAUCCACACUUUCACAUUAGCUUUCUCUUAGACUAAUCUUCUUAUUAAAGAUACAUGACAGAGAUCUUGGAUGGUGAUCACAAGUUUCUAUUGUUGCAGGGAAAAAAGAGUCCGAUGGAGUUCGCAGAGGAAGUUGUUGAGGAGGCAGAUCAGUACAACGGUUUUAAUCUGAUAUUGGCUGAUCUUCGUUCUAAGACCAUGCUUUAUGUAACCAACAGACCAAAGGAAGAAAAAAAGUUUGUCACUGAGGUUUCACCGGGGAUUCAUGUAUUGACAAAUGAUGCAAUGCUUGAUUCUCCUUGGCCUAAGGUAAUAACUAAAUGGCAUGUCGUUUUGGCUUGUCAGUUGGUACGACGUCAUGUUUAGCACAAAUUAAUCACAUAAUGAACUAGUUUUUUGCUGCAUUGGUUGUUGGGUGACAUUUACAUUAUAAUUAGCAUCCUUAUAUCUUUCAAUCUGCUUCUUCUAUUUCAGUCUCAACGACUUGGCAAUAGUUUCAAAGAGGUGCUAAACAAGUACGGAGAUGAUGAAGUUUCGUUAAAGGAAAUGGCUGUACAACUAAUGACAGACACGACUAGAGAUGACAGAAGCCUGCUACCUUGCAUUUAUUCUCCAGAAGUAGAAUAUGAACUAAGUUCCAUAUUUAUUGCUUAUGCCCGUGAAUUGGUAAAGCCAAUUAAUUAUCUUCCUAUAAAGUUUUGUCCCUGCUUAAUUGAUUUUCUUAAGGUUUUCUUUUGAAUUUCACAUAGGGUUGUUAUGGUACUAGAAGCACUGAUGCUGUGUCUGUCAAUACAACUGGGGAAGUCACCUUUUAUGAGAGAUACAUAGCUGGGGAUUGGUAUGAAAGGACCGAGACCUUCCUGAUGAAUGAGACGGAAAAUGAGUGAAUGGUAAGUUAUAAGCAUAUGGUUCAGUAAAUCUCAAUUCAUAUAGAAGAAGCCAGGAAUAAUCUUAAGCCAACCUUAUCUGGGAGUUUUAGGGACAUAUGCCUUAAUAAACUACCAUAGUUCAGAAACUUAAAUGUCUUUCUUUGUUCCUUUUAUGGUAGUGUAUAUAUCCAUGCUUGAAUAGACUGGAUUGUUACAGACCAAAAAAAAGAAAGAAGAAGAUUAGACUGGAUUGUUGGUUCAACAAAGAUAGGAGUAUAAACAGACUUGUUUUGUAUAAUAAUUUGCAUAGAGUGGAAAUUUUAGUUUUUUGAAAGUUUUGAAACCAAUGAUCUUCCAGGGGAACUAUACAUAGUAGUAACUUUACUGAUAUCACUGUUAGUCACUUAAGCUAGCUUUUUCAUUCAAGAUUUGAAACUUUGGAAUUCUGGUAACAACCAGCCAAGCACCUUUGUGGAUUGAUGGUUGAUUUAGAUAUCGAAGCCAAUAUGACAGAACUUCCAACAUAUCCUCAUAGUUAGUUAGUUAGUUAGUUAGCACAGAACAUCAAACUAUCAAAGACAUAAAUUCAUAGUGAUAGGGACACUGGAGGGUCUUUAAUUUCUAAAACACAGACCAGGUGAAGUCUAUUAACAACUUUAUUACAUGAUAAUUCACAUCCCAGCAGUGAAGAUGCUGUUGAGCUUCUUUAAGCAGCGCAUGAGACACAGUUGCAAGCGUCGCCGCACUUGCAGUAGGCCUUGCCAACCCCAGUGGUGACGACUUUGCUAGCACAACUGCACGGGUUGCAGCCACAAUGCGCCCCACAUGAGCAUUUCUUGUGGUCCGCCGCAGUCGUAGAGUCAGACCUGGUUGCGCACCUGUCAUCCAAAUUCAGAUAUCAUUACCUACCACCAGAAAAAUCGUUACCUACCACCAGAAAAAUUGAGAACCUAACUGUGUAACAUUUACAUCGAUUCAAAUAUUUUCCAAGUAGUGCAAACGUGAUUAGUCCCAUCCUUUCUAGGAACUACCUUUAACAACAAACUUGCAAAAGAUGGUGGGUAAAUUUCCUUCAUAAAUGCAUCUAGGUGAAGGACGUUCUUGAUGCAUUGAUACAGCACAUUGGAAUCGAACUAGCCUACUUGAUGUAUCGAUUCUUGACUAUGUUAACUCACAUUCCAGCCGUCGUAUAUUUUUAAAGUUCCAAAGAGUCCGUUUUUGCUAACUUGUCUACAAUUUUUCUCUCGUUUACAGCAAAGUUAAUAAGCCAAAAUGCACUCAGAUUUAAAGGGAGGAUAUAAUAGCUGCAAGUUAUAAACAAGAGUAGAAUACAUUGAAACAAUUGUUUGAAGUCUGAGGUGUUACCUGCAAGACAGGCCGCCAGGACAUGGAGUAGGGCAGCCGCAGGUAUCGUUGCAGGUGGUGAGUCUUGCACCUCCCAGUGUAGCCAUUUCUUUUUCUUCUUCUUGGUUUCUUUGAUUGUGAGAGCUUCCGAAGCACUGUUCAUUUUCAUUUAUAGUACUAGUACUGGUCUGAUGGCAAUGCAUUUGUGAUGCCAAUUGGCACAAGCGGUCUUAAUACAGACAUCAAGUGUGAUAUUGUAGUGAAUGAAGUUUUCAAGUGCAGUCGAGGUGGCGAAUUUUUUUCAUGCAUUUUUUGUUGCUGCUCCACGUAGCUAGACAUUUAGUUCUGGAUUUUGGGUGCUUCUUGAUCGGAAGGUUCCAUGUGAUGUAUGACAUAACAAUUUUUUGUUGUCAUUUGUGGUAUGUGAGUUCUGUCUUGUGCAAUCUUAGUCUCGUCCCUCCUGAUCGAAAUCAAGGCUUUUUACUUGUAUGGGCAAAAUUCACCUCUUCAAGUCUUCAAAAUAGAAUUCAUCAAGCUAUUCUAUUCAACACAGUUACACAGAUCAUUAUCGAUACAUAAUUAGUUUGUCAUCCAGCAAGUGAGCAAGUCAUUCUUGACGGUCUGAUCCUAAAUCAAGCAUGCAGGAACUGACCGUUCUGUAACCGUAGUUGCUACAUCAAAACGAUCACUGGCUACUACAUUUCCACACAUUAUGGGGAAACUCGAGCCUGCUCUGUGCAUAUUCAGUGCAACACAGCCUCUGAUGAAGAGCAAUGCAAAGAGUACUUGUUAUUCGAGUACAUUAAAACGAAGCUGCAUGUGCAGAGACGAUACUAGCACUUCGCACUUUCGCUUAAGUUGCUACAAUAUCUGUGAAGUUGGUAGAGAUAUGAAUCGAUGCAUGCAUCGCAAUGGCAGAUGAAGUUUGAGCAGAUUCUUCAAGGAAUAUAUAGCAGCUCAUUUCAGAAAAGGUGUAGAAUGGCGAUAUCUGCUUUUCAUAGCUUCUGAUGAAGCAGAACAGUGAUGCAUGCGACUCGACUGGUGAUGCAUGUCACUGGUAAGGCAGUGCAUACAGCGAAGCUGAUCGAUAAAGGCCUUUUAAGGGGAUUCAAGGCGCACAGUUGCGAGAGGCCGGUGGCUCAGUCUUUUUGAUUUGGUAGCCAUGGUUUUGUGGUUAUGAAAGACUAGUGAAAUAUCCGGAAGUUCAGUGUAGAUAUCGCUGCUGUUGUGAUCAAAUAUUCAAAUUUGUUUCAAAUGACAUCCUACGCUACGUAGUACGUAGACAAAAUGUGUCCCAAGAAAGUUCUAAAUCUGGAGCACUCUAAUAUUUAUGACAUCAUAUAUGUACAUACAAAAUUUACAGUAAGCUCGAUUAUGGCUAGAUAUCGAUCACAGUAUCAUAUAUGAAAGUAACAACAGAAACACCCGAGACUGGAUCUUUUAUUUCUAAAACAAAGACCAGCAAGUCAAGUCUAUAUAUAUAUGAACUACAUUUGACCCGGAAAGGAAAAUUGUCUAGCUAUAAUAACAACUUUACAUANNNNNNNNNNNNNNNNNNNNAGUAGAGAUAUAUAUAUAUAUAUAUAUAUAUAUAUAUAUAUAUAUAUAUACACAACCUAGCUUUGCCGAGAUAGCCAUGAUUAGGCGGAGCAUGUGACACAGGUACAACCAGUGCCGCACUUGCAGUAAGCCUUGCCUACCCCGGUGGAGACGACGCUCUUAGCACAAGUGCACGGGUUGCAGCCGCAGUGGUCGCCGCACGAGCACUUCAGGUGGCCAUCCCCACUUGUGGCCUCGGUCUUGGAUGUGCACCUGUCAUAUAUACAAGUACAGAUUGUGUAAUAUUUCCACAACUAGUGACAUAUAUGUCAUAUACAAGUACAGAUUUUGUAAUAUUUCCACAACUAGUAACAUAUAUAUAAGAGAUCUAGAGAGAAUUUUGAAGAAAGAGGUGGAUAUAUCUUCCUUCAUAAACAGAUUCUCCAUCAACGGCUCAGACAAACCGAACAAGCCAGUGGUUGUUUGCUAACUGGAGAAUGCUAACUAAUUUCUCUAGGAUUCUUAACUCGAAACUAUAGAGCUAUGCUCGAAAGAGAAGGGCCAAAUCCUAAACACUAAACAAUAGGGUUUCAAUAAACGUGCUGCAAUAAUAAACUGAUCCGUCCGGUCCAUCGAUCCAACUCUUGAAAAUUAGCUCAUACGAACUAAAACAGAUUCAGCCAUUCAGGGUUACUUCCCUUUCGAGGUCUUCAUAUGUCAAAACUAAACUCGAAGCAUGCACAGUGACGACGUUUGAAAUACCUGCAGGACACGCCGCCGGGGCACGGAACAGUGCAGCCACAGGUAUCGUUGCAGGACAUCUUCACAUCUCCAACUGUUUCUGCCAUUUCGAUCUGCUUCUUCUCAGUGUUCUCGACGCAAAGAGCUAGCUACUACUGUUCGUUUCCUUAGAGUACGAACGAUCGAGUACGACUUCAAAAAAGCCAUAUAUAUGCAUGUGUGAUGCCAAAUGGCACAAGUAGUCUUUAGGGUUCUUGUGGAGGUGGCAAAAUCUUUGCAUGCAGUUCUUGUAGCUUCACCACGUAGCUAGCCAAAGUCGAUCUCGAUCUCUGUAUAUUUUCAGAUAAACUUUCACAAACAUCUGAUCUCGAUCAUUUGUCGUAUCAGAAGAAAACACAUUAUCCGAGUUUGAUAACUGACGUACUGAUGU